rnacentral:lncRNA from 1 species
AGAACGUCCCUGCAGGAGGAAUGCUCGUGAACGACGUCGCGCUGCAUGUAACUAAGCCCUGCUUCACCAAAACUCUGAAAAAUAUAGUAGUCUUUGCCUUAUCUAACCUGCUCCCGUCCCCCAACCCCGCAGCUCACGAACCCGUACCUCCCCUUCGGCGGCGUCGGCGACAGCGGGACGGGCUGCUACCACGGCAAGUUCAGCUUCGACUGCUUCAGCCACAAGAAGGCGGUCCUGAUCCGCAGCUUCGGCGGCGAGGCGGCGGCGAGGUACCCGCCCUACACGCCGGAGAAGCAGAAGAUCCUGAGGGGCCUGAUCAACGGCAGCUUCAUCGCCCUCAUCC